rnacentral:rRNA from 1 species
GGAACUUUAAGGAUACUGCCAGUGACAAACUGGAGGAAGGCGGGGACGACGUCAAGUCAUCAUGGCCCUUACGGCCAGGGCUACACACGUGCUACAAUGGUCGGUACAAAGGGUUGCUACACAGCGAUGUGAUGCUAAUCUCAAAAAGCCGAUCGUAGUCCGGAUUGGAGUCUGCAACUCGACUCCAUGAAGUCGGAAUCGCUAGUAAUCGCGGAUCAGAAUGCCGCGGUGAAUACGUUCCCGGGCCUUGUACACACCGCCCGUCACACCAUGGGAGUUUGUUGCACCAGAAGUAGCUAGCCUAACUGCAAAGAGGGCGGUUACCACGGUGUGGCCGAUGACUGGGGUG